CUCUGAUAUCAUAUUAAAAAA
rnacentral:miRNA from 1 species